rnacentral:rRNA from 1 species
AUUGAACGCUGGCGGCAUGCCUUACACAUGCGAGUCGAACGGUAACGGGCCUUCGGGUGCCGACGAGUGGCGAACGGGUGAGUAAUGCAUCGGAACGUACCUUUCAGUGGGGGAUAACGUAGCGAAAGUUACGCUAAUACCGCAUAUUCUGUGAGCAGGAAAGCAGGGGAUCGCAAGACCUUGCGCUGAUUGAGCGGCCGAUGUCAGAUUAGCUAGUUGGUGAGGUAAAGGCUCACCAAGGCGACGAUCUGUAGCGGGUCUGAGAGGAUGAUCCGCCACACGGGAACUGGGACAAGGUCCAGACUCCUACGGGAGGCAGCAGUGGGGAAUUUUGGACAAUGGGGGCAACCCUGAUCCAGCCAUGCCGCGUGAGUGAAGAAGGCCUUCGGGUUGUAAAGCUCUUUCGGUCGGGAAGAAAUCGCAUGGGUUAAUACCCCGUGCGGAUGACGGUACCGGCAUAAGAAGCACCGGCUAACUACGUGCCAGCCGCCGCAGUAAGAC